CACUCAAUUUCACACAUACAAUCUUCUUCCCCAGUUCGUAUGCAAUCAAUCAAACCCUACACACACACACACACACACACCAACAAUAUGCAUUUGCAAGCACACACUUUCAGCUCUUCUUCUUCUUUUCAUCUCAACAGAAAUCACCUCAACAAUCUCACUCCUUUCAAAACCCUAGCUUCCGCUAACAAACCUCUUUACGGCACCGGAGUUGUUUUCCGGCGAACAGGCUCACGACAGUUUCCGGUGUUGAAGCAAUUGAAUCGUCGUGGUGCUGUAAACUUGUCUUCGGAGGGGCAGAACCCUAGCACAAGUGCGGAGACGAUGAGAAAUGUUGUGGAACACAUAUGCUUGCUUAAAGCAAAGGUGGAUUUAUCUGAUGAAGAUGAAAAGAACAUGCUAGAUUUUCUCUACACCUGCCAAUAUCAAAUGCGUGGCAUUCUUGCAAUCUCGUUAGGGCGUAUAUCGAAUCAAAAUCUUGAAGGUUACACACAUGCAGUCUUCAUGCGUUUACAGAAAAAGGAAGACCUUUCAAAAUUCUAUGAGAACCCGUUCUACUUGGGGGUCUUAAAGGACCAUGUAACGCCUUACUGUCAUGUAUGCCCUGACAUGAAUUCACUUAUUUUGAUUAUGAAUCCGAAGUAGAAGAUGACAUUCUUCCCAUCUUUCGGAAAGGAGAGGAGUUUAACUUUGGUGUGGAAUAUAUACUUCUUAUCGCGUUUAAAGAGAGCUCGUUGGGUGAGGUGGCAGAUGACGUGUUGACAUCUUUUGCAAAAUUACUAAUGGAGUUUCCUUCAUUAAUUGUCCAGUUUACAAAAGGGUCAAAUUUCAAUCCUGACAGCAAAGACUACACUCAUGCUGUAGUGAUUCGAUUUCGAUCGUCUGAUGCGUUUGACAUUUUCAUGGGCAGUUCAGAAUACAAAGAUAUUUGGAGGUCGAAGUUUCAUCCCAUCACCGAGAAGAAACUAUCGAUUAGCUUUUCUGUAGAUCCCGUCGGUAAGGAGUUGAUGUAGCAAGAUUCACUGAUUUUAGGGUUACAUAGCAAGCCAUUCUUGUUCUUGGAUGUUCUGCUUUUUGAGAGAAAAGCCUGCAGCUGAUUUACUAUUUUCUGCAGAUGAUUUAUUUUGUAAUAAUAUAUUAAAUAUUCCAAGUUGUAUCAAUUCAUUACUCGCUUAAAAAAGAGUCCUCUUUACCA